rnacentral:snoRNA from 1 species
UCCUCCUACAAAGGUGUGUCUGUAGUUCCCUGUCGUUGGACACAUAAGAAUUAGAGGAAAAGAAAUGUGGAUUUGGAUAAGUCUGGAACCAGCUUGCUCCCUACAGGCUCAAAACCAACUAUCCAACAGAA